rnacentral:rRNA from 1 species
UACGUAGGGGGCAAGCGUUGUCCGGAUUUACUGGGCGUAAAGGGCGCGUAGGCGGCCACCGCAAGUCGGUUGUGAAAUCUCUGGGCUUAACCCAGAAAGGUCAACCGAUACUGCGGGGCUAGAGUGCAGAAGGGGCAACUGGAAUUCUCGGUGUAGCGGUGAAAUGCGUAGAUAUCGAGAGGAACACCUGCGGCGAAGGCGGGUUGCUGGGCUGACACUGACGCUGAAGCGCGAAAGCUAGGGGAGCGAACGGG